GAAAUGGCUCAUGGGUGAAGCGCCCCUGGGUUUAAUUCCCUGUACCAAAAAAAAAAAAAAAGCCAAUUCUAUAAUUAGUAUGGAGUUAAGUCAAGACUUUCUACUAUUAGUCAGGGAACGCAUUCCCUAAUUGAUUUAAUUUUCCCAUCUUGGCAUUCCACAGGACUUCAAUAAACAAUUUUCUUGCUAACAGGAUGCUAAACAAACAUAAUUAUUUUUGAGACAAGAAAUGCAAAUAAAAGCUAAUUUAAUGAAUUUGUUUUCUGGAUAUGGACACUCAUGGGAACUGAAAGGCGUGAAAAUACAGGAGGAAGACACAGCUCGCUCAUAACAGCUUUCUUAUAAACAAAUUUUAUCCCACAGACCUUUGAAUCUUUCAACCCCAAAGCAACAGUUUUCCCUCUGCUUUUUACUUUUUUACAUUUUACAUGUAAAUUGCAUAAACCAAGAGAGUGCAAAACAAACUAGAAACCACAGACAUUAGGAAAUUUUUGGUCACAAGUAACAGGAAACCCAGUUAAAACAGGCUACAGCAUGAGGAAGUUUACAGGUAUGGUAGAACCUUAAUCAUUUAAGUAAUCAACAUUGCCAUUAAGGACCAGCCUUUUUCUCUCUGCUGUUAUGUGUUCCCCUCCUGCUUGUAAGCUGGAUUCAAGUUUCUUUGCUCUUCUCCACCCCGAAUGUUAAGUCCUUCUCUUCAAACUAAUUGAUGUUCCUUGGAAAAAAGUUCUAUGCUUGCAGAAUUUGGGGUGGGUGGCAGGGUACUAGAGAUUGAACCCAGGGCCUCCUGAAUGCUUUGCAAGCACUGUAUCACAAAGCUACAUCCCUUUUGCAGAAAUCUUGAAAGGCCCAUUUAAACCCUUAGCACUCAGAAAAACUAGGGUACUUGUUAUUAUAAAUGCCUAGGGCAGAACAUAAGCUUUGUCAUUUUUAAGAUUGAGCCUUAAUACACAAGAAAAUGGCUCUGGUUCUCAGACCAAAAGAGGCAAGGAGGGAAUUAUAUAGGGAUUUUUAAGAAACACAACACAUUUUCUUCAUCAGUGGUUCUUAAACUUUACCUGGCAUAAGGGUUGCCUGGGGAAUUUUCUAAAAGAUAGAUUUCAGCCCCUAUCCCAGUCCUAUCAAUUAUGAAUUCCUAGCCAUGUGUCCUGGGAAUUCCAGAUUUAAACAAACUCCCAGGUAAUUCUGAUGCAAGUGGUCCUUGUGUUCUCUGACAAUGCUAACCAUCUACCUCAUGCCUGCUUGUGACAGCAAUCAAUGUUACCAUGGUACCAACCAAUCAGAGCCAGCCUCUGAUGCUUGCUGCCCAGGCAACAACUGACUUUGCAAGCUUCUUGCUUGUUUGCUAACACAAGGGGCCAUUUUAAGCAAUUUCCUAAGUGCUGCAAAAAUUAUUCAACUGACCCAAAGAAACUGAUUCAUGGCUGCAGGAUCAGGGAUUAUAAAUCACUAUGACACCUCACAUUCAGAUCAUCCAACUGUUAAUCCCUUUUUUGAUUCUAUUUCAGAUGUCAGAUGCUAGCCCCCCAAAGACUGCAUUUCAUUGGCAUGAAUAAUUCCAAUAAAUGUCAAGAUUCAGAUGAUGUUCCAAAGCCCACCACACCUGACACCUAUAGCACCCCUGUUGUUACAAGGGUCUCCACCUGGGCUAAAAGUAAAUAAGUCCUACCUCAUGUGAGUGACCAGUGGUUGAGUUUAUUACUUUUAUUUUCUCAAAAACCAAACAAGUUCUUUUCAACUAAUUCUUUGGUUUAGAUGCUAACCAUCUGAAAGAAAAUCCAAGCUAAUGGGAAAGAGGAUAGGAUAGGUUGCUGGGUACAAAGGUGCACCAUAAUCCCAGUGGUUUGGGAGGCUGAUGCAGGAGGAUCACAGGUUCAAGGCCUGCUUCAGCAAUUUAGGUCGUAAGCGUUUUAGCGAGACCCAGUCUCACAAAAUAAAAAGAGCUGGGGAUAUACUUCAGUGGUAAAGUGUCGUUGAGUUCAAUCCCCAGUACCAAAUCAAGAAAGAAAGAGGGAGGGAGGGAAGAAGAAAGAGAAUAGGCUAAUCUACUCCUGUAACAGGAAUAUGAAGUGAAAUAAUUCUAACUAUGUUACACAGCAAAGGAGAUUUAAGGCAGCAGAAGGGAUUAACUUUGCUAAUCUGAUGAUCUUAAAUAGGAAGAGUAGUUGGAAUUUUCCAAGUGGGUCCAAUGUAAUCACAAAUAUCCUUAAACAAGGAAGAUGAAGGGACAAAUCAGUGUCGGAGAGAUACAGCGUGAGAAAGAUUUGACCUACCAGUGCUGGCUAAGAGGAUGGAAGGAAACCAGGAGUCAAGAAAUGUAGGCCACUUCUAGACUCUGGAAAAGGCAAGAAAACUGCUUCUUCCCUAGAGUUUCCAGAAGGAACACAGCCCUGCCCUGAAACCCAUUUCAGACUUCUGCCCUCCAGAACUGUAACAUAAUAAAUUUGCUUCUUUAAGCCAAUUAAGUUUAUGACCAUUAGUUGUAGCAGCAAAAAGAAUAUAAAUACAGGGCUGGGGUUGUGGCUCAGCCAUAGAGCACUUGCCUAGCACAUUCGAGGCCUUGGGUUCGAUCCUCACCACAUAAAAAUAAAUAAAUAAAAUGAAGGUAUUGUGUCCAACUGAAAAAAAAAAAAAAAAGAAAAGAAAUACACAGGGUUUAAGAGUGAAGACCAGUAACAGAUACAGAACUAAAGGGUUGAAUGAGGGUUUCUCUGCCUGUUGCCAUAGACUCCUCUCUCUAGUGGUGGUCCAGAGGAAACCCAUCACUCCAAGUUUUCCAAGAGUGUUAUCUUUUUUUUUUUUUUGAGUUUUCGGCAGACACAACAUCUUUGUUUGUAUGUGGUGCUGAGGAUCGAACCCAGGCCACAUGCAUGCCAGGUGAGCGCACUACCGCUUGAGCCACAUCCCCAGCCCAAGAGUGUUAUCUUUAAAAAAAAAAAAAAAAGAUUUUUUUUUAAAGAUGGACACACUAUCUUUAUUUAUUUAUUUUUUUGUGGUGCUGAGGAUUGAACACAGUGCCUCACAUGUGCAAGGCAAGCGCUGUACCGCUGAGCUACAACCCCAGCCCCCAAGAGUGUUAUCUUUUAACCAGGCAACCUGGUUCAUAAAAUCUGCAGGAUUUAAAAAAAAAAAAAAAAGAUUAUAUAUGGAUAAACAAAUUCAUAUACAUUUUUUGGCCUAGUCAAUGUUGCUGUGUUUUGUCUUCCCCUUCUUUUAUUUUUUUAUAUUUUGGUACCAGGGAUUGAACCCAGGGAUACUUAACUUGAGCUACAUCCCCAGCACUAUUUAUUCUUUAUUUUGAGACAACUUAGCCUCGCUAAGUUACUGAGGCUAGCUUUGAACUUGCAAUCCUCUUGCUUCAGCCUUUCAAGUCACUGGGAUUACAUGUGUGUGCCACCAUACCCAGCAUCCUCUUUUAAAUGAAAGAUAAUAGAGCUAGGGAUGGGGCUGGGGUUGUGGCUUAGUGGUAAAGCACUCACCUAGCAUGCAUGAGGCACUGGGUCAAUCCUCAGUACCAUAUAAAAUAAAAUAGAGCAAGGGAUGUAGCUCAGUAGUAAGAGUACUUUCCUGCUUGCACAUCCAGUGCUGCCAGAAAAAAAAAAAAAAGGAGGAACUUUAUAACAAUAAAUAUAUAUAUGUGUGCACACAUCUGCAUAUAUACAGAAAAAUGCACAAGUCAUUUUCACAAGGUGAGCACACACAUGUAACUACCACCCAAAUCAAGAGAUCAAGAUAUAAAAUAUAACCAGAAGCUUCAAAAUUUGCUUCAUUCUCCUCCCACACACUAUUUCAAUUCCUGUGAAUAAUCACUCCUCUGACUUCCAAUUCCAAAGGUAUGGUUUUUGCCUUUUUUUUAAGUUUAUGUAAAUGGACUUAUGUAAUAUGCAUGCCUUUGUGUCUGGUGUCUUCCACCUAACAUAUAUUUAGCAACUGCUUAUUUUCAUUGCACUAUAGUAUUUCAUUAUGUAGUUAUAACCCAAUUCAUCAAAUUUUUUUUAAGGAAAACUGUGGGUUAAAAAUGAUUACUUGACAUUCCAGAAUUUCUCAGAGCCUUUAGCCUACUAACAACUGACUGUAAUUCUUAAAACUAAGUUAGCACAUCCAAGGGUUCCCAAAUGUAUUUGAACACGAAACUUUUUUUUCUUCUGCAUCUUAUUAGACUAAUAUUUUUGCAGGACGUGCUUCAAGAAAACCUGGCCUGGACCAAGGAUUUUCAAACUGCAUUCCUCAAAGCUCUAGGGUCCCAAUACUGCAUGAGGGAUGAAAGGAAGGCCAACUGGAUCUCCCCUUUGGCUUCAACCUGUCACCUCCACUUUAAUCUGUUUAUGAAAAGGUUCCACAUGGUGUAAAUGCAUAUAUGUAUAUGCAUACCUAUGUAUUACCUGUAUGGAUAUGUAUACAAGUAACUGCACUUAGGCCUAUAUUUGAAAAAACAAGUUUGGUUGCUUUAAAAAAUGCUUUUGAAAACUACCAGUUUAGGCCAGAUGUAGUGGCAUAUACCUGUAUUCCCAGAGAUUGAGAGGCUGAGGCUGGAGGAUUGCAAAUUUAAGGCCAGUUUCAGCAAUUCAUCAAGGCCCCAAGCAAUUAGCAAGACCCUGUCUCAAAAUAAAUGAUUAAAAAGAGCUGAGGAUAUAGCUUAGUGGGAAAGUACCUGUGGGUUCAACCUCUGUACCAAAACAAAACAAAACAAAAACAAAAACAAAACUUGCCGGGCUGGGGAUGUGGCUCAAGCGGUAGUGAGCUCACCUGGCAUGCGUGCGGCCUGGGUUCGAUCCUCAGCACCACAUACAAACAAAGAUGUUGUGUCCGCCGAAAACUAAAAAAUAAAUAUUAAAAAAUUAAAAAAAAAAAAAACUUGCCAACCUAGGCUCUAGAGGACCUCUCAGGUUCUAUACUCUAAGGGCUUGCUGACCUUAUCCAAAAUUUCAUUGUUUUUGUAACUGUUGUCUUUUAAGUAUCUGUCAAAGGGUUGUCCACUUGCUCUGAUAUUCCCAGUGGUGGUGUGGAAACAUCUCAAAAAGGGAUCAUUGACAAGCAUCUCAACAGAGAUCAGGCAGCUUAGUCCACAAGCACUUUUUGUCUAUGGAAUCAGAGGCUGAAAAUAGAUUAUUACAUGUCACCAGAGUUUUAAAUUGCCUUUUAACCAGGCAGUGUUGGGUGGGGAUUAAGAGUAUGGAUUCCAGAACCAAAGCCACUGGCUUCAACUCCUGGCUCUGCUGCUAACUAGCUGUGACCUUGGACAAGUUUCUUAACACCCUCAUGUCUUAGUUUGCUCAUCUUCAAAAUGGAAGUGAAGAUAAUAAUAA
rnacentral:lncRNA from 1 species